CCCCUAGACGUUCUGGGCUGCACGCGCGCUACAAUAAUACGCCCAGCGAGCAUCACCGAGCUCGAAAGGGCAAGGUAAACAAUAGAAAAGGUACUGUAAUGGUUAUAGAUCCUUGUAAUUAUUGAUCUUCAACGAGGAAUUCCUAGUAAGUAUGUGUCAUCAUCACGCACUGAUUACGUCCCUGCCCUUUGUACACACCGCCCGUCGCUCCUACCGAUUGGGUGAGCCGAUGAAACUCUCGGAUGUAGGCUAUUCAUAGCCCGCAGAAGAGAUUUGAAUCGUAGCGCUUAGAGGAAGGAGAAGUCGUAACA
rnacentral:rRNA from 1 species